UUCGGCCAUAAUAUGUUGAAACUACCAGUUCCUGUACGACCACCGAAGUUAAGUAAGGUCGAGGCUUGUCAGUGCCGAGAUGGGUGACCGCUUGGGAAUACUAGGUGUUGUAAG